ACACAUGCAAGUCGAGGGGCAGCAUGGCUCUUAGCUUGCUAAGGCCGAUGGCGACCAGCGCACGGGUGAGUAACACGUAUCCAACCUGCCGUCUACUCUUGGACAGCCUUCUGAAAGGAAGAUUAAUACAAGAUGGCAUCAUGAGUCCGCAUGUUCACAUGAUUAAAGGUAUUCCGGUAGACGAUGGGGAUGCGUUCCAUUAGAUAGUAGGCGGGGUAACGGCCCACCUAGUCUUCGAUGGAUAGGGGUUCUGAGAGGAAGGUCCCCCACAUUGGAACUGAGACACGGUCCAAACUCCUACGGGAGGCAGCAGUGAGGAAUAUUGGUCAAUGGGCGAGAGCCUGAACCAGCCAAGUAGCGUGAAGGAUGACUGCCCUAUGGGUUGUAAAUUUCUUUUAUAAAGGAAUAAAGUCGGGUAUGGAUACCCGUUUGCAUGUACUUUAUGAAUAAGGAUCGGCUAACUCCGUGCCAGCAGCCGCGGUAAUACGGAGGAUCCGAGCGUUAUCCGGAUUUAUUGGGUUUAAAGGGAGCGUAGAUGGAUGUUUAAGUCAGUUGUGAAAGUUUGCGGCUCAACCGUAAAAUUGCAGUUGAUACUGGAUAUCUUGAGUGCAGUUGAGGCAGGCGGAAUUCGUGGUGUAGCGGUGAAAUGCUUAGAUAUCACGAAGAACUCCGAUUGCGAAGGCAGCCUGCUAAGCUGCAACUGACAUUGAGGCUCGAAAGUGUGGGUAUCAAACAGGAUUAGAUACCCUGGUAGUCCACACGGUAAACGAUGAAUACUCGCUGUUUGCGAUAUACAGCAAGCGGCCAAGCGAAAGCGUUAAGUAUUCCACCUGGGGAGUACGCCGGCAACGGUGAAACUCAAAGGAAUUGACGGGGGCCCGCACAAGCGGAGGAACAUGUGGUUUAAUUCGAUGAUACGCGAGGAACCUUACCCGGGCUUAAAUUGCAGAUGAAUUACGGUGAAAGCCGUAAGCCGCAAGGCAUCUGUGAAGGUGCUGCAUGGUUGUCGUCAGCUCGUGCCGUGAGGUGUCGGCUUAAGUGCCAUAACGAGCGCAACCCUUGUUGUCAGUUACUAACAGGUUCCGCUGAGGACUCUGACAAGACUGCCAUCGUAAGAUGUGAGGAAGGUGGGGAUGACGUCAAAUCAGCACGGCCCUUACGUCCGGGGCUACACACGUGUUACAAUGGGGGGUACAGAGGGCCGCUACCACGCGAGUGGAUGCCAAUCCCCAAAACCUCUCUCAGUUCGGACUGGAGUCUGCAACCCGACUCCACGAAGCUGGAUUCGCUAGUAAUCGCGCAUCAGCCACGGCGCGGUGAAUACGUUCCCGGGCCUUGUACACACCGCCCGUCAAGCCAUGGGAGCCGGGGGUACCUGAAGUGCGUAACCGCGAGGAGCGCCCUAGGGUAAAACUGGUGACUGGGGCUAAG
rnacentral:rRNA from 1 species